GACGAACGCUGGCGGCGUGCCUAAUACAUGCAAGUCGAACGCAGUGGGGACGGGUGAGUAACACGUGGGUAACCUCCCAUCAGAGGGGAUAACACUUGGAAACAGGUGCUAAACCGAUACUGAUGGAUGGCCCCGCGGUGCAUUAGCUAGUUGGGGAGGUAACGGUUCACCAAGGCCACGAUGCAUAGCCGACCUAGGAGUGUUGUCGGCCGCACUGGGAAGUAGACACGGCCCAGACUCCUACGGGAGGCAGCAGAAGGGAAUCUUCGGCAAUUGACGAAAGUCUGACCGACCAACGCCGCGUGAGUGAAGAAGGUUUUCGGAUCGUAAAACUCUGUUGUUAGAGAAGCGGUAUCUAACCAGAAAGCCACGGCUAACUACGUGCCAGCCGCCGCGGUAAUAC
rnacentral:rRNA from 1 species